UACAGAGGGGGCAAGCGUUGUUCGGAAUUACUGGGCGUAAAGGGCGCGUAGGCGGCCUGUUAAGUCGAACGUGAAAUCCCUGGGCUCAACCCAGGAACUGCGUCCAAUACUGGCAGGCUUGAAUUCGGGAGAGGGAUGCGGAAUUCCAGGUGUAGCGGUGAAAUGCGUAGAUAUCUGGAGGAACACCGGUGGCGAAGGCGGCAUCCUGGACCGACAUUGACGCUGAGGCGCGAAAGCCAGGGGAGCAAACGGG
rnacentral:rRNA from 1 species